rnacentral:rRNA from 1 species
UACGUAGGGUGCAAGCGUUGUCCGGAAUUAUUGGGCGUAAAGAGCUCGUAGGCGGUUUGUCGCGUCUGCUGUGAAAACCCGAGGCUCAACCUCGGGCCUGCAGUGGGUACGGGCAGACUAGAGUGCGGUAGGGGAGAGUGGAAUUCCUGGUGUAGCGGUGGAAUGCGCAGAUAUCAGGAGGAACACCGAUGGCGAAGGCAGAUCUCUGGGCCGUAACUGACGCUGAGGAGCGAAAGCAUGGGUAGCGAACAGG